rnacentral:rRNA from 1 species
CCUACGGGUGGCAGCAGUAGGGAAUCUUCCACAAUGGACGAAAGUCUGAUGGAGCAACGCCGCGUGAGUGAAGAUGUGUUUCGGCUCGUAAAGCUCUGUUGGUCGUGAAGAAAGAUAGAGGUAGUAACUGGCCUUUAUUUGACGGUAAUUACUUAGAAAGUCACGGCUAACUACGUGCCAGCAGCCGCGGUAAUACGUAGGUGGCAAUCGUAGUCCGGAUUUAUUGGGCUUAAAGCGAGUGCAGGCGGUUCAAUAAGUCUGAUGGGAACGCCUUCGGCUCAACCGGAGAAUUGCAUCAGAAACUGUGGAACUGGAGUGCAGAAGAGGAGAGAGGAACUCCAUGUGUAGCGGUGGAAUGCGUAGAUAUAUGGAAGAACACCAGUGGCGAAGGCGGCUCUCGGGUCUGCAACUGACGCUGAGGCUCGAAAGCAUGGGUAGCGAACAGGAUUAGAUACCCCAGUAGUC